CUGAGUACGGCGGAACACGUGAAAUUCCGUCGGAAUCCGGGAGGACCAUCUCCCAAGGCUAAAUACUCCCUAGUGACCGAUAGUGAACCAGUACCGUGAGGGAAAGGUGAAAAGCACCCCGGAAGGGGAGUGAAACAGUUCCUGAAACCGUGUGCCUACAAGUAGUUAGAGCCCGUUAAUGGGUGAUAGCGUGCCUUUUGUAGAAUGAACCGGCGAGUUACGAUUUGUUGCAAGGUUAAGCGGAAAAAGCGGAGCCGUAGCGAAAGCGAGUCUGAAUAGGGCGCAUAAGUAACAGGUCGUAGACCCGAAACCAGGUGAUCUACCCAUGUCCAGGAUGAAGGUAAGGUAAUACUUACUGGAGGUCCGAACCCACGCACGUUGAAAAGUGCGGGGAUGAGGUGUGGGUAGCGGAGAAAUUCCAAUCGAACUUGGAGAUAGCUGGUUCUCUCCGAAAUAGCUUUAGGGCUAGCCUCGAGGUAAAGAGUCAUGGAGGUAGAGCACUGUUUGGACUAGGGGCCCUUCUCGGGUUACCGAAUUCAGAUAAACUCCGAAUGCCAUGUACUUAUACUCGGGAGUCAGACUGCGAGUGAUAAGAUCCGUAGUCGAAAGGGAAACAGCCCAGACCACCAGUUAAGGUCCCCAAAUAUAUGUUAAGUGGAAAAGGAUGUGGGGUUGCUUAGACAACCAGGAUGUUGGCUUAGAAGCAGCCACCAUUGAAAGAGUGCGUAAUAGCUCACUGGUCGAGUGACCCCGCGCCGAAAAUGUACCGGGGCUAAACAUAUUACCGAAACUGUGGAUGAACCUCUUUAGAGGUUCGUGGUAGGAGAGCGUUCUAAGGGCGGUGAAGUCAGACCGGAAGGACUGGUGGAGCGCUUAGAAGUGAGAAUGCCGGUAUGAGUAGCGAAAGAAGGGUGAGAAUCCCUUCCACCGAAUAUCUAAGGUUUCCUGAGGAAGGCUCGUCCGCUCAGGGUUAGUCGGGACCUAAGCCGAGGCCGAUAGGCGUAGGCGAUGGACAACAGGUAGAGAUUCCUGUACCAGUGCUAAUUGUUUAACCGAUGGGGUGACACAGAAGGAUAGGGAAUCGCACGAAUGGAAAUGUGCGUCCAAGCAGUGAGUGUGAGAAGUAGGCAAAUCCGCUUCUCGCGAAGCAUGAGCUGUGAUGGGGAAGGAAAUUAAGUACGGAAGUUCCUGAUUUCACGCUGUCAAGAAAAGCCUCUAGGAAGAGUAGUACUGCCCGUACCGCAAACCGACACAGGUAGAUGAGGAGAGAAUCCUAAGGUGAGCGAGAGAACUCUCGUUAAGGAACUCGGCAAAAUGACCCCGUAACUUCGGGAGAAGGGGUGCUCUAUUAGGGUGCAAGCCCGAGAGAGCCGCAGUGAAUAGGCCCAGGCGACUGUUUAGCAAAAACACAGGUCUCUGCAAAACCGUAAGGUGACGUAUAGGGGCUGACGCCUGCCCGGUGCUGGAAGGUUAAGAGGAGUGCUUAGCUUCGGCGAAGGUACGAAUUGAAGCCCCAGUAAACGGCGGCCGUAACUAUAACGGUCCUAAGGUAGCGAAAUUCCUUGUCGGGUAAGUUCCGACCCGCACGAAAGGCGCAACGAUCUGGGCACUGUCUCAACGAGAGACUCGGUGAAAUUAUAGUACCUGUGAAGAUGCAGGUUACCCGCGACAGGACGGAAAGACCCCGUGGAGCUUUACUGCAACCUGAUAUGGAAUGUUUGUACCGCUUGUACAGGAUAGGUAGGAGCCGAAGAGACGUGUGCGCUAGCAUACGAGGAGGCAAUGGUGGGAUACUACCCUGGCUGUAUGACCAUUCUAACCCGCCACGCUUAGCGCGUGGGGAGACAGUGUCAGGUGGGCAGUUUGACUGGGGCGGUCGCCUCCUAAAGAGUAACGGAGGCGCCCAAAGGUUCCCUCAGAAUGGAUGGAAAUCAUUCGCAGAGUGUAAAGGCACAAGGGAGCUUGACUGCGAGACUGACAAGUCGAGCAGGGACGAAAGUCGGGCUUAGUGAUCCGGUGGUUCCGCAUGGAAGGGCCAUCGCUCAACGGAUAAAAGCUACCCCGGGGAUAACAGGCUUAUCUCCCCCAAGAGUCCACAUCGACGGGGAGGUUUGGCACCUCGAUGUCGGCUCGUCGCAUCCUGGGGCUGUAGUCGGUCCCAAGGGUUGGGCUGUUCGCCCAUUAAAGCGGCACGCGAGCUGGGUUCAGAACGUCGUGAGACAGUUCGGUCCCUAUCCGUCGCGGGCGCAGGAAAUUUGAGAGGAGCUGUCCUUAGUACGAGAGGACCGGGAUGGACACACCGCUGGUGUACCAGUUGUUCCGCCAGGAGCAUCGCUGGGUAGCUAUGUGUGGCAGGGAUAAACGCUGAAAGCAUCUAAGCGUGAAGCCCCCCUCAAGAUGAGAUUUCCCAUUUCUUCGGAAAGUAAGAUCCCUGAAAGAUGAUCAGGUAGAUAGGUUUGGAGUGGAAGUGUAGCGAUAC
rnacentral:rRNA from 1 species